UGUCCAUCAAAAGCUGUUGCACUUUGCCAGUGUUUUGAUCCCUGUGGAUGAAAACAGCAUCAGGUGUUGCCAGAGCAAGCAUUCAUCCCCCAGAGCCACCCAGCCAGUCAUAACAACACAGGGUGAAAUGCAGCGUAGUUUGGAUGAAUCGGACCCAAAUUCUACCAGGGCACCCUCCCUGUUUAAUGGCCAGCAUGAGAUGUGGCUGUGAGCUGUACAGUGCUGACUAUGGGAAACCUUCUCCUGAGGCAGGCUAAAGCUGUGGGCACCCUGGCCGCAUGGAUGCUGGAAGCUGAUGACUGGUGUGUCAGUGGAAUAUCGAAGUCAUGACCUGCGUGAUUGCUUGCCUUCAAGGGGAAAUCUAAUAUCCACCCUGGCAAGAGAGACAGAAUCCUGCAGAUCCGACUUCACAGAUCACUGCUACACAGCACAGCAAGCUUCUCUUUCCUCAAGCCUAAAACUGCUCCUAAAGACAGCUACACUGAAGGAAGCAGGAAGUUCUGGGAAUAAAUCUAAAGGCGAAAGCGGUUUGUUUACGCUGCCGCGCUUCUCCUUGCCCUGCUGCCCUCCUGCCCCAACGCCGCGAUCAGGUUGGAAGUGAAAUCUCACCGGCCACGUGAAAUUAAAGGGUAACUUGAUGGGGCUGUCAAAUUUCUCCGUGUUCUUGAUGCUGAAGGAGUUUGUCCCCAGUACCGGGGUGAUGAUGCUGCCGAAAGUGCAGGAGCCCGGGGAGACCACAACCUGAAAAUGCUUCAAGCAAACGCGGAAGAAGGUCCUGCACUGUGGGGAGCAGGGCUUCCCGCUGGCCAGCGACCCGUGGCUGUUCACGAAUUCGUGCAGCUCCAGCUGGAAGACGCCAGAGCCGGACACCCUCUGCACAAAGGGGAGACACACAAAAUAGCCAAAUCAGACCUUACCCGGCUCCGCCGCGCAAACUUGUGCCAUCACCCACUUUACAGCUCGCGAACCCUCUUUAUUUUUGCGAUGUGCCAUUACCUGCUGCAAAAUCAUUAACAGAAACGUCAAGCUAAAGGUGCGCAAGGCUGUCAUCCUUGUGUUAUUCGAGCUCCUAGGUCUUAGUGGGUUUAGUUUUCCUCCUGUAUUCCUCAAACGGUCCAAGCGAGAGGUUCUCGGUCGAGGGAGAAAAGAGGCGCGUCACGGAGGUUCGGUUCUCCCGGAGCAACCCGCUCUUCCAAAUAUUCCCCGAGCACCAGCAGAAAUCGGAAGGUAAAAUCCAGGUGUCGAUCCCCCCCCUUUCUGAGUAUUAAUCCUGCAGCCGACCGCAGAGCUCCGAUCGCCGCCGCCGCCGUCGUCUUUAUAAACUCCAGGGCCGGGUGGGAUUGG